rnacentral:tRNA from 1 species
GAGGGUAGAGCUCAAGUGGUAGAGCACAUGGUUAUCAUGUACGAGGUCCUGGGUUCAAACCCCAGUACCUCCU